AUGUAUAGCAAUAGCUACUUGCAUCAUUGUAAAAAUGAUGCAGGAUCGACUAUGUCGAAUAAAAUUCUAGGUAGAAUUAUGAUAAUGACAUUGUCUGCCUAUGUGUCUUGACCAAAUUACGUGCCAGCAGUCGCGGUAAUACGUAGAAGACUAGUGUUAUUCAUGUUUAAUCGGUUUAAAGGGUACCUAGACGGUAAAUCAAGCCUAAAAUUAAAUGAAGGGACUAAUUUACUAGAGUUACUUAUGAGGGGGUAUUAAAGUACUGCUGGUGUAGAGAUGAAAUUCUGUCAUACCUCUUUUCAAUAGAAAAACAAUGGCACAGGUAUAGGCGAAAGCAUCCCCUUAUGUGAUAACUGACGUUGAGGGACGAAGGCUUUGUGUAGCGAACAGGAUUAGAUACCCCAGUAGUCAAAGCAGAAAAUGAUGAAUGUCAUAGAUUAGAUAAAUAAGUUUAUUCUAUAAAUGAAAGUGUAAGCAUUCCACCUCAAGAGUAAUUUGGCAACAUUGGAACUGAAAUCAUUAGACCGUUUCUGAAACCAGUAGUGAAGUAUGUUGUUUAAUUUGAUGAUCCGCAAAAAACCUUACCACAAUUUGAAUAUUUAUAUUUUUUUAUUGUUUUCUUUUUAAUUUUCUUCUGAUUUGAUUUUUCUAAAGAAAAAAAGAAAAAGAGGCGAUAUGAUAUAUUUACAAGCGUUGCACGGCUGUCUUCAGUUAAUGUCGCGAGACUUUGGUUAGUUCCAUUAAAUUAACGUAAACCCUUACUUUAUUUUUAUAUAGAGUAGUUCCCCGCUAUAUUGGAUAUGAUAAC
rnacentral:rRNA from 1 species